AUCAAGAUGAAAAUCAGAAUCAAAAUAAAUCAGAAUAAAAAUAAAAUAAAAUCAAACCAAACACGCAUGUAACAACGCAUGUAAUCAAGUAAAUCUCAUACAACCAACAAGCACACAACUAAAUAGUAUUAACUAAUACUAAUUUAAGGAUUAAAUAAAAUAAAAUAAAAUAAAAUAAAUUGAAUCAAAAGAAAUCAAGAAAAUAGAGAAAAAUGUAGGGUGCAAACUGUAAAGUGAAAUGCGUAAGCAGAAUAACCAGCACAAAUACUGUAUUAUAAACCGUAAUAUAAACAAAAUAAAGAAUAAGAUACGGUGAAGUUACAGUGAAGUUAAUUUCGAAAUAAUAUAACCAUAGAUAAUAUAAACCAUAGAACAGCCACCUUCAAAGAUGUCAGGUGACAGAAUUUACAGAGAUAUAACCUUAACCCUAACCCCUAAUGUGUCAAAACAAGGAUGUCAACAGGAAGCAAGAACAGUGUAAGAAGACUCGUUAGGGAUAAGAAGAACAAAUUACCAAUUAAGGAACCCUGAUUGCCAACUCAGGGACAGGAAACAAGCAAGAAAGGCACUGUCACCCUUUUGUGAAAGGGCUACGCAAUACCAAUGCCAGGGAGAGACAUCAUGAAUCAAUUGAAUUAAAGAAUAUCGAAGAAGAAUCAAAAUAUCCAAGGAUAUAUAACAGGCGACAAAUCAAGAAGGCGACAGGAAAUGAAAUAAAAUAGUGGUAGUCAGUGAUAACGUGACACAGUUAAAUUAAAAUAUAAAAUAUAUAUGUAUUAAAUGUAUUAAAUAUAGAAUAACCGCAUAAAAGUAAACAUAAAUAUGUUAAUAUAAUCUACAAACUUUGUACCACCAUGAAUCUAUAAUUAAACUAAAUCAUAACAAUAACAAUAA